rnacentral:misc_RNA from 1 species
UUUCCGUAGGUGAACCUGCGGAAGGAUCAUUCACAAUCAGUGUUUUAUGGAACUUUUUCAACAAUCCAAAUCCACCUUGUGUGCAACGUUAUGAGACCCUCUAUCGUUACCUUUUAGGUUACGGAAGAGGGAACCUCUACAACUUACCAACGUCACCUUUAAUUUAUUUGUCUGGACAUUUGUUAUCACGAAUUAAUUUAAUGCGAAAAUACAACUUUCAACAACGGAUCUCUUGGCUCUC